AUUUUCUCUUCGUUUCUGUCCCCUACAACGCAAACUUUUGCGGCCUCUCCCUUCAUGUCUUUUCUGCUCCGGGGCUGUCUCGACAGCUCUUCUCGUUCCUCCUCAGCAGGAUCGUGUCAGGAUUUUACUACGCAAGGAAGUUCUCGUUUUCCUGGACUAACUUUCUUUUCGAGGGGAAGGACCUCUUCCUGACAGGCGGCUCUUCACUUGCUGAGAGGUCCACGAGACGGCGCGUCUUCGCAUGCAGUGCCGCGGCGUUUCUCUCUCUUCUGGAUUUCUCAUACACAGCGACAAGCACUGUCUCCGUUUCCAGGAAGCACAGCAGAGGACCAGCUGUCCAGAGACGGCGAGGGAGAGAGAACUGGAGAGAACUGGAGAGAAGGAGAGAGGAGCAGAGAGAAGGGAGGUAGACGAAGACAGAUGAGGCAGAGAGAUGUCUAGAGAGAGAAGGGAGGAAGAGCAGGGAGGAAAGUCGAGUGAGGAGAUUGAGAAUGGUCGUUUCUCUGUACGACUUUCCAGGGACGUUCUGCGUAGUUUUUUCUCUCUUUUAUACCUGAGGAGCGCUCGCGUCGUAUUCAUUGUCUCUCACCUUUUGAGAGGCUUUUCUCUGUUUUUGAAGAAAAGUUCGCUUUCUUACCAGGUGCCGAUCCUCGACAGUCACUCAGAAACGUAAGGCAUUUGAGAGCGCGUCUCUCUCCUCUCUUUCUUCAUCCCUCGUUUUCUUUCUUUCCUCUCCUCCGUUCUGCCUCUGCUCCCUCAUCUCGCUUCUGCGGGGUGUUCGUCUCCUG
rnacentral:lncRNA from 1 species